GCCUCUUGCAGAGCAGUCAGCAGCCUCCGCGCCUCCACUCGCAGUCCUCUCGCAGAACUCUGCUGUCUCACGCACUGGCAAGGUCUCAGUGGCUCGUGCUCCCACAGGAAGACGUUCGCACCUCGAGAGUCGCCAGCAAGACUCAGCGCGGGCUGGGCCCGCUGGGGAUGGGUAGGAACGCGGCCCACUGUGAGGUCACGGGGUGACUGUGACUCUCCGGUGCCAUCACGAAGCACACAGAUGGGUGGAGUCUUGCUGCCCCGUGGCUAUUGCGUCCGUAUUUGGGGCAUUUGCCUGCCAGAGCGCACCCAAGGACUUUCACUGGGACGUUUUCCCAAGCAGUGACAAAUAAAGGAUUUCUUGAAGCAAGCAGUAGAGCAGCUUUGGUGUUGCCGUUGAUCAGUGCAGUAGCUGUGACCGUGCCGGCAUUUGAUAGUAGUGCUAGCAAAGUAAAUGCUGUGCUGGGUAUUUUUCAGCAAGCAGUGAAGGGGCAGUGCUUGCCAAGAAGGGAUCCCCGUCCUGGUCCUGGUGGGGAAAGAGCAGCACAGCUUCUCCGUGUGUCUCUUCCCGCCCCUCCUGUGCACCCUCCGGGACUUUCCCUGACAUCCUAACCUUAUCUGUUCCCUUUCUGGGUGACUUCUACCAUGUCUUGGGUGGAGAGUCAUGAGCAUCAGUCCUAUGUUUCUAGCACGUUCUUCUUGGAGUGUGUUGUCCUGCUGAGGGCUGUGAACUCUGAGAUCCCUCUGGAUGGCUGCACGGCCUUCUGCUGCAUCGGCCGCUCCUCCCCGUUUGGGAUCCUCCGCGGCCUCGUGAGGGUCCGCGCUGUUCCGUCACCCAGCUCGUUCUUGAGGCUCUUCCGUGGGACUGGACCCACUUUUGUCCCCUGCGAUGAACCUGCGGGGUGGCUGCAGUUCUUCCAAUUCAGGCAGAGCAGCAGAUCUGUAGAGGUACAAAGGGGCACUUUGGAGGUAUCUCAGCUUUGUGUGCUUUGCAGGCUGGCCUGAGUGGUUUUCCAGGUGCAAGUGUAGUUGUGUCCAUAAUAUUUCCUCCUGCCCCUCUUCUGCACUGUCAUUUGUGCUCCUCUCAGAGAGCUGGGCUUUUGUUAUGUAUCUGAAAUUUAGGCUGGGUUUUUCCUAUUAUUUGUAUUUUUUUACUGGUUAUGCUGCAAGAGACGUGCACAUUUUUUUCAAUGUUCCUCACAUAUUAACUGCUCUGUGGCAGCAUUUAUAUUCAGUUUUUUAUACACUGGGAGCACAGUGGAGGUUUAGAAUUGUAGAUUUCUUUUUAAUAAAAUAUGAUUAUUGGCUCUAGAGCCAUCUAAAGAUGUUAGGACCUUACUGAAUAAGAUGGCAAAGCUUUAAAUCUUAGUGUAAAAACUUUAAUGUUGGCAAAGGUGAGCAUUGGAAUUUCUUUUGUCUCUAGAAUUGGCAUCUUGUUCUGGGUUAAGAAAAUGCUCUCAGGAGUUGCCAGAAAAUAUAUAUAUCUAUUUAGUUUAUAUUUGAUUUUUUUUUUUUGGUCGAAGCUAAAAAUCUAAUUAUUUUCUCAUCAAUCUGGA
ensembl:lncRNA